UACGUAGGGGGCUAGCGUUGUCCGGAUUUACUGGGCGUAAAGGGCGCGUAGGCGGCGUGGCAAGUCACUUGUGAAAUCUCCGGGCUUAACUCGGAACGGUCAAGUGAUACUGCUGUGCUAGAGUGCGGAAGGGGCAACUGGAAUUCUUGGUGUAGCGGUGAAAUGCGUAGAUAUCAAGAGGAACACCUGCGGCGAAGGCGGCUCUCUGGGACGGUACUGACGCUGAGGUGCGAAAGCGUGGGGAGCAAACAGG
rnacentral:rRNA from 1 species